rnacentral:rRNA from 1 species
GUGGGGAAUCUUGCGCAAUGGGCGAAAGCCUGACGCAGCCAUGCCGCGUGAAUGAUGAAGGUCUUAGGAUUGUAAAAUUCUUUCACCGGGGACGAUAAUGACGGUACCCGGAGAAGAAGCUCCGGCUAACUUCGUGCCAGCAGCCGUGGUAAUACGAAGGGGGCUAGCGUUGCUCGGAAUUACUGGGCGUAAAGGGCGCGUAGGCGGACAGCUUAGUCAGAGGUGAAAGCCCAGGGCUCAACCUUGGAAUUGCCUUUGAUACUGGCUGUCUUGAGUUUGGGAGAGGUGAGUGGAACUCCGAGUGUAGAGGUGAAAUUCGUAGAUAUUCGGAAGAACACCAGUGGCGAAGGCGACUCACUGGCCCAAUACUGACGCUGAGGCGCGAAAGCGUGGGGAGCAAACAGGAUUAGAAACCCUGGUAGUCC